GGUGGCUCAGGGGUAGAGCACUUGCCUUGCAUGCAUGAGGCCCUGGGUUCCAUUCCUCAGCACCA
rfam:Dipodomys ordii contig_43504, whole genome shotgun sequence.